GAUGAACGCUGGCGGCGUGCCUAAUACAUGCAAGUCGAGCGAACGGACGAGAAGCCUGCUUCUCUGAUGUUAGCGGCGGACGGGUGAGUAACACGUGGAUAACCUACCUAUAAGACUGGGAUAACUUCGGGAAACCGGAGCUAAUACCGGAUAAUAUUUUGAACCGCAUGGUUCAAAAGUAAAAGACGGUCUUGCUGUCACUUAUAGAUGGAUCCGCGCUGCAUUAGCUAGUUGGUAAGGUAACGGCUUACCAAGGCAACGAUGCAUAGCCGACCUGAGAGGGUGAUCGGCCACACUGGAACUGAGACACGGUCCAGACUACUACGGGAGGCAGCAGUAGGGAAUCUUCCGCAAUGGGCGAAAGCCUGACGGAGCAACGCCGCGUGAGUGAUGAAGGUCUUCGGAUCGUAAAACUCUGUUAUUAGGGAAGAACAUAUGUGUAAGUAACUGUGCACAUCUUGACGGUACCUAAUCAGAAAGCCACGGCUAACUACGUG
rnacentral:rRNA from 1 species